AGGCUUAUAAAAUCCGGUUGC
rnacentral:siRNA from 1 species